GCGAGGGUGGCGAAACUGGCAGACGCGCUAGACUUAGGAUCUAGUGGUAAUACCGUGCGGGUUCAAGUCCCGCCCUUCGCA
rnacentral:tRNA from 1 species